rnacentral:rRNA from 1 species
UACGUAGGGUGCAAGCGUUAAUCGGAAUUACUGGGCGUAAAGCGUGCGCAGGCGGUUCUAUAAGACAGAUGUGAAAUCCCCGGGCUCAACCUGGGAACUGCAUUUGUGACUGUAGAGCUGGAGUACGGCAGAGGGGGAUGGAAUUCCGCGUGUAGCAGUGAAAUGCGUAGAUACGCGGAGGAACACCGAUGGCGAAGGCAAUCCCCUGGGCCUGUACUGACGCUCAUGCACGAAAGCGUGGGGAGCAAACAGG